rnacentral:rRNA from 1 species
AUUGAACGCUGGCGGCAUGCCUAACACAUGCAAGUCGAACGAGUGGCGGACGGGUGAGUAAUGUCUGGGAAACUGCCUGAUGUAGGCGGAUAACUACUGGAAACGGUAGCUAAUACCGCAUACCAUCAGAUGUGCCCAGAUGGGAUUAGCUUGUGGGUGGGGUAACGGCUCAACAAGGCGACGAUCCCCAGCUGGUCUGAGAGGAUGACCAGCCACACUGGGACUGAGACACGGUCCAGACUCCUACGGGAGGCAGCAGUGGGGAAUAUUGGGCAAUGGGCGAAAGCCUGAUGGAGCAAUGCCGCGUGAAUGAAGAAGGCCUUCGGGUUGUAAAGUACUUUCGGCGGGGAAGCGGUACCCGAAGAAGAAGCACCGGCUAACUACGUGCCAGCAGCCGCGGUAAUAC